rnacentral:rRNA from 1 species
CGGAGGCAGCAGUGGGGAAUAUUGGACAAUGGGGGCAACCCUGAUCCAGCAAUGCCGCGUGAGUGAUGAAGGCCUUAGGGUUGUAAAGCUCUUUCGCACGCGACGAUGAUGACGGUAGCGUGAGAAGAAGCCCCGGCUAACUUCGUGCCAGCAGCCGCGGUAAUACGAAGGGGGCUAGCGUUGUUCGGAAUUACUGGGCGUAAAGGGCGCGUAGGCGGUUUUGUCAGUCGGAAGUGAAAGCCCCGGGCUCAACCUGGGAACGGCUUUCGAUACUGCAAGACUUGAGUUCCGGAGAGGAUGGUGGAAUUCCCAGUGUAGAGGUGAAAUUCGUAGAUAUUGGGAAGAACACCGGUGGCGAAGGCGGCCAUCUGGACGGACACUGACGCUGAGGCGCGAAAGCGUGGGGAGCAAACAGGAUUAGAUACCCUUGUAA